rnacentral:rRNA from 1 species
GACUACUGGGGUAUCUAAUCCUGUUUGCUCCCCACGCUUUCGUGCCUCAGCGUCAGUUGUAGUCCAGAAAGUCGCCUUCGCCACUGGUGUUCCUCCCAAUAUCUACGCAUUUCACCGCUACACUGGGAAUUCCACUUUCCUCUCCUACACUCAAGUUCACCAGUUUCAGAGGCUCACUACGGUUGAGCCGUAGCCUUUCACCCCUGACUUGAUAAACCGCCUACGCACCCUUUACGCCCAGUAAUUCCGGAUAACGCUUGCCCCCUACGUAUUACCGCGGCUGCUGGCACGUAGUUAGCCGGGGCUUCCUCCUAUGGUACCGUCAUUAUCUUCCCAUAGGACAGAGCUUUACGACCCGAAGGCCUUCAUCGCUCACGCGGCGUUGCUGCAUCAGGCUUUCGCCCAUUGUGCAAUAUUCCCCACUGCAGCCGCCCGUAGG